rnacentral:rRNA from 1 species
CUGAACGCUGGCGGCGUGGCUAAGACAUGCAAGUCGCACGGACGUAGCAAUACGUCAGUGGCGGACGGGUGAGUAAUGUAUCGCUAACGUGCCCCGGAGACAGGGAUAGCUGCCCGAAAGGGCAGGUAAUACCAGAUGAGACCACGAACAGGCAUCUGUUCGUGCUCAAAGGCCGCAAGGUGCUCUGGGAGCGGGCGAUAUCGUAUCAGCUUGUUGGUGAGGUAACGGCUCACCAAGGCGACGACGCGUAGCUGGUCUGAGAGGACGACCAGCCACAUCGGGACUGAGACACUGCCCGGACUCCUACGGGGGGCUGCAGUAACGAAUCUUCCACAAUGCACGAAAGUGUGAUGGAGCGACGCCGCGUGUGGGACGAAGUCCUUCGGGAUGUAAACCACUGUCAGGGGUUACCAAGUUCUGAGGAGCCCCAGAGGAAGGCACGGCUAACUCUGU